rnacentral:rRNA from 1 species
GACGUAGGGGGCGAGCGUUGUCUGGAUUUAUUGGGCGUAAAGAGCUCGUAGGCGGCUCAGCAAGUCGGGUGUGAAACCUCCAGGCUCAACCUGGAGACGCCACCUGAUACUGCUGUGGCUAGAGUCCGGUAGGGGAACACGGAAUACCCGGUGUACGCGGUGAAAUGACUUAGAUAUCGGGUGGAACACCAGUGGCGAAGGCGGUGUUCUGGGCCGGAACUGACGCUGAGGAGCGAAAGCGUGGGUAGCAAACAGG